CGUGAAAUUGUUGAAAGGGAAGCGUUUAUGACCAGACUUGGACUUGGUUAAUCAUCUGGGGUUCUCCCCAGUGCACUUUUCCAGUUCAGGCCAGCAUCAGUUUUCCCCGGGGGAUAAAGGCGGCGGGAAUGUGGCUCUCUUCGGGGAGUGUUAUAGCCCGCCGUGUAAUACCCUGGGGGGGACUGAGGUUCGCGCAUCUGCAAGGAUGCUGGCGUAAUGGUCAUCAACGACCCGUCUUGAAACACGGGC
rnacentral:rRNA from 1 species